AAACAUUUGACCUGGGUCUUCCAAACAUUUUGGCAAAGGAUUUGGUUGCCAGUGGAAAUGGAAUGCUAAAAGCUUUGGCAGUUGUUGCAGAAUAUAUGGAAAGGGAUUUUUCAUGUUGUCUGAAUAAAACACAACUACAAGAGAUCAGAGAAAUGCACCCUACCGUCUUUUAGCUUGUGCCCUUGUAUUACUUUUCUCUUUUUCAAAAGAUGUGUAAUGUUUUACUGUAUUAUGUUUCAUGUCAUUUUUAUAGGUAGGCAUUUUCAGUAGGAAAGCUACAGGUGUGCAUGCAGUUAUUCUGCUGUAUUUGUCCUCCUGUCUGAAGAGCUGUACAAGCACAGGAACUUCUUAAAAGUUGGCUAAUUCCUGUCUACAACAUAAGGAUUGGAAAACAACUUUUCCACUGUGAUACUUAUAAAAAUUAAUACUUUAAACUGCUUUUUAUAUACACUUCCUGUGUAUAAAUCAUUUUCUCUCAUAUCAUUUUCUGUUUUAAUAAAGGACAUCAGGCAGGCAGAGGAAGAACAUACGGCACGGAUUGCAUAUCGUGGGAGAAGAAAUAGUAAAAUUUUUAUUGGCCAAAAAAUCGGUGACGAAGAAAUCUUUAUCAAGUGCGUUCGUCUUGUAGUUGGACUCUAGGGCUUUAUUUCCGGCGAGGGAUAUUCUUGAUUCUGGUGUGAAGCUUGCUGUUAAAGAGCGAUGUACGCAAAAAGUGGUGGCCAAAACUGUCACGUACUGCGUUUACGCCAUCUGUGGAGCUUAACACGCGUAGCUCAAGUUGUUUUGCAGGCAUUACAAACUAGAGGCGCUGAUAACAGUUGACACCACCAGGUGGCCGUUGAAUCAUGAGACAACGCGGAAGGUAGUUAAUUAGAUUGGUUUCUGUGUUGUGAAACUUAGCAUUGGUUCCAUUAUGCACGUGUCGCACCUAGCCAGAAGAAAAAAUUCUGUCUCCAUUUCGCGCAAUUGGUGUUUCCACGAUGCACGUGUUGCAACCAUCUAGCAGAAAAUAGUUAUUGAAUUUCAUUGGCUUCAAUUUGAUGUCUGCAUUUGUAUUUGACAACUUCAACAGGAGAGAUUUAUGCCAGGAGAAUUCAAGCUGUUCAGGAAAACAGAGCCCAUUGUAAUUCCAGCUAUGGAGUCAUACAACUAUUUUGUUGGCAAUAACAAACAUGCUGCAUGUGUUUGGAUCAACCAUGGAAACUAAAUGCAACUUCUUUCACAGGUAUGACACUGAUUGUGAUGUUGAAGUUGUUAGUUGCUUCUGAUGGACCAAUUUUUCUUUCAUUUAUG